CCUACGGGUGGCAGCAGUGAGGAAUAUUGGUCAAUGGGCGCGAGCCUGAACCAGCCAAGUCGCGUGAGGGAAGACGGUCCUAUGGAUUGUAAACCUCUUUUGUCGGGGAGCAAAAGACGCCACGCGUGGCGUUCCGAGCGUACCCGUAGAAAAAGCAUCGGCUAACUCCGUGCCAGCAGCCGCGGUAAUACGGAGGAUGCGAGCGUUAUCCGGAUUUAGUGGGUUUAAAGGGUGCGCAGGCGGAAGAUCAAGUCAGCGGUAAAAUUGAGAGGCUCAACCUCUUCGAGCCGUUGAAACUGGUUUUCUUGAGUGAGUGAGAAGUAUGCGGAAUGCGUGGUGUAGCGGUGAAAUGCAUAGAUAUCACGCAGAACUCCGAUUGCGAAGGCAGAAUACCGGCGCUCAACUGACGCUCAUGCACGAAAGUGUGGGUAUCGAACAGGAUUAGAUACCCGAGUAGUC
rnacentral:rRNA from 1 species